UACGUAGGGACCAAGCGUUGUUCGGAUUUACUGGGCGUAAAGGGCGCGUAGGCGGCGUGGUAAGUCAGCUGUGAAAUCUCCGAGCUUAACUCGGAACGGUCAGCUGAUACUGCUGUGCUAGAGUGCAGAAGGGGCAAUCGGAAUUCUUGGUGUAGCGGUGAAAUGCGUAGAGAUCAUGAGGAAGACCAGUGGCGAAGGCGGGUCUCUGGACAGUUCCUGACACUGAGGCACGAAGGCCAGGGGAGCAAACGGG
rnacentral:rRNA from 1 species